rnacentral:rRNA from 1 species
UACGUAGUCUGCUGCAUGCAGGAAGACCCG